GCACUUGAUGUCAACUAUAAUUUUAGGAAAUUUCCAGAAUAAUUGGGAAAUGUAUUUCACUGAUCCUAGACCAUUGGAACCAGAAAGAUUGAAGGCGUUUCGCAACCAGUGGGCAAAGUACUAUUUGAAAGUUAAAAAUGAAACUUAGGAUGUUUAGACAAUUUUGUAAUUGUAGUUUAUAUUUACUUACUUAAUUUACAAUUCAUGUCUCAACAUUAAAUAUGCUUUAAAUUCAUAGUAAUUAGUAAAUUUCUCAUUGAAUUUUCUGGUAAAAACUGUUUCAAAACAGAAUGAAAAUUAUAUGUUGUGUGGUCUGAUUUUAAAA